ACAACAAUAAUUUGGCGCCAACUUCGACUGCACACCAUGGCUACUCAAGAGACUCAAGACAAGAAAAGGAACAGGAAGACGAACUGGACGCCUUCAUCUGGCCCACCUAUACAAAAUUCUCGCAAAAAUACUCCGGAGCGACUUCUCCACAGCUGGCUGCUCUAAGGAAGCCAGAAAUGCCGCUUGGAGGAGCAAUAGUGCGGAGGUGUCUGCCGUGUCAGACAUUCUCCGCACUGAGGAGUGCCAGAAACAUUGGCAUAUUAUAAAAUCUGAGGCAAGACGGAACACCCGCAAGCAGAGAGAAGCCAUGACUGCCACAGGUGGUGGACCUCCUGCCAACCCUCCUCUCCCCCAGCACAAUGAGUUAAUCUUUGAGAUUUUGGACCCUAAGAAUGUCUCUAUUCAUGGGUGUACCAAUAAGGCAAGCAUCAUUGAAUGCACCUUCCUCAACAAAGGAUAAACCACUUGUAGAUAUAGCAAUAUUAGGCCAUAAUGUUGUCUCAAAUGUCUGCAAUCCAAAAUACUCGUUCCCAUUUAGUUUACAACUUAGAGUUAAACACAAUGGUAAAUUUGUUAUCUAGUGUUGAGAAAUUUUGUUUUUUUAAUUCUUUAACCAAACAGCUAAAACAGUAAUAAGAAAAGAAAAAAAAAAAACCUAAUAAAUGGUGUAGUGGGUGAAUGUGUUAAUGAGAACGAGUCUUAGGGAUUUACAGUUUCUUAGGCAUGGGCUUCCUUCAAACAGAAUAGGAUUUAAGUCAAACACAUUGUACCCUUAGCUAGAUUUACUGGUUUCUGUUACUUUUGUCCUUAGCAAUAAAACCAAAAACAUUAUCAGCUUAGUUUCUGAAGUUAGAACUAAUGAUGCCAGCAGUGUGCAGGCAGCAGAUGAUGCUGGGGGAAGUGGCAGAGGCAGCCCAACAGAGAGAAGUGGUGACCGAGACAGUGGGUGUUGAGGAGGAGGCACCUGCCACACCACUUGCAGCACCAACAGGGGCCAGACUUGCCUGGUACAUCACUGGUGUUUGUGGAUGAGGAGGAGAUCAUCCACCUGCAGAAGAAAAGGAAGCUUGAGCUUGCACUCCUUGAAGAAUCUAUAAUGGCUCAGGAAAGGAAGCAAGAAGCAGAACAGGCUAAGUACAUGUACUACACACAAAAACUAGAGUACCAGAAACAAACAAAUAAAAAAUAGUAAUAAAGAUAUAAAUAAUGUACUAUUUGUUUUUGUUUGUAACCACUCAACCAAAUAUUAGUGUUAACACAAAAUUAACUGCAGUUUCUAUAUGCUCAACCUACAAUCUACUUACUUCAGGUAUGGGAGAGAGA
rnacentral:lncRNA from 1 species